AUUGAACGCUGGCGGCAUGCUUUACACAUGCAAGUCGAACGGUAACAGGCCUUCGGGUGCUGACGAGUGGCGAACGGGUGAGUAAUGCAUCGGAACGUACCCAGAGGUGGGGGAUAACGCAGCGAAAGCUGUGCUAAUACUGCAUGUGAUCUGAGGAUGAAAGCGGGGGACCGAGCAGCAAUGUUUGGCCUCGCGCCUUUGGAGCGGCCGAUGUCGGAUUAGCUAGUUGGUGGGGUAAAGGCCUACCAAGGCGACGAUCCGUAGCUGGUCUGAGAGGACGAACCACCCCACUGGGAAAAGACACCCGCCCCGACCCCCGGGGGGGGCCGGCGGGGGGAAUUUUGGAACAAGGGGCGCAGGCUUGCUCCAGCAAUGCGGCGUGCGGAAAGAAGGCCUUGGUGUUGAAACCCGUUUGGGGCGGAACGGAACGGGUCCCCGCAAAUCCCGGCCGAUAAGGCGGGUCCCUAAAAAAAAGACCCCGACUAACUAGGUC
rnacentral:rRNA from 1 species